GAGCAUGUCGUGAAAGACGCACACGGGGCGGGCGUGCUUCGACCGUGUCUCCGGGGCACAGUUGAAUGUAGAUAUCAUGAACGCGAGGUGCAGGAUACCAGGCCGAGAAACCCGGCCCCUUUCUGGCAGCCCUAUCUCCUACUCUGUUUGUUCUUUGCUUUGCCUACACUACAGCACCUGUUCCUCUUUGAUCUAGUGGUAUUUCAGCCGUGUACA
rnacentral:lncRNA from 1 species